rnacentral:rRNA from 1 species
AUGCUAGAAACUGACCAAGCCAGCAAGGUAUCAAAGGUGCUCGACGACGAUGACCUCCUCAGGGAGAUCAUUAUCCGCGUCGGCUUCCCCACCACCCUUGUCCGUGCUGCCCUUGUCUGCAAGCGCUGGUACCAUCAUGCCUCUGAACCCGCCUUCCUCCGCCAUUUUUGCGAGCGCCACCUGUCCUGCCUCCUUGGCUUCUACGUCGAGGAUAGGGAAGAUCAUAAAAUGGCUUCUAUUCGGUUCUUCAGUUUGCUAAAUAAGCCCCGAGAACUUGCUGCCAUCGUCCGCUCUCUGCUGGGCUACAGUUGGGACGCCUACCGCAGCGCGCCGGCCAACUUCCUCUGCUCCCGGAACGGCAGAGUCUUCAUCAGCUUGUACGACCAGGUCAACCGCAGCAAAUUUACAGUUGGGGCGCACAGUCCAUUAUGUCCUGAGAGAGGCCUGACUGUUGUCCCACCAUUCCCACACAUUGAAAUCCAGGAUGGCUAUUCCCGCACGAUGAAUGAUCUCUUCUCCGUAGAUGAAGUCAAUGACUUGUCCUUGUUGCAUGUGUUGGUGGUGUCUAACAUGCAGAGAACAAAAUCUACGGUGCACGUACAUAUGUGGCGACAUGGUGAUGGUGUGUGGCGCACGUAUCUUACCUUGGACACAGACCAGCUCCUUGAUCCACGACGGGAACCAAAAUCUGUGCUCGCCAACAAUAAAAUCUACAUAGCAAGCGCCCAGAGCGACAUUGUUGUCUUUGAUUUGAUUGCCUCGAGCAUCUCUAUGUUUCAGCUCCCACAAGGGGUGGAGUAUGGCGAUACAGAUACCAUGUUGGCACAGGCUCAGGAUGCUUCUGGUGUGUAUCUCAUCCAUGCAAAGAAGCUUCAGCUUCACAUUUGGCUCCACAAGGGGGACAACUGGUUACUGGUGGACACCAUUUGUUUGCGUGAGAUGGUAGCUAAUAUGUGGAUUCCAGGUUACAGGGUUGAAGAUGAUUCCUACGCUCCUCUCCGGAUAAAGCAUGUGGGGGACCAUGCUGAGUUUAUGUUCUUGGAGAUGGGUCGAUGCGCACUUCAAUUAGAUGUCAAGUGCAUGCAGUUGCGUAAAGUGUAUGUCAUGGCAGAAGAAGAAGUGCGUUUGGGUGAUAUCCAUCCUCUUAAGAUGAUUUGGCCGCCCAUAUUCCCUGCGCUCAAGGAUAAUCCUGCAAGGUUUGCCUUUUGGCCUUCAGAUGAUUUGUAUAUUGCUUUUGUUCGGGUUACAUAG